UCAUGCUCAGGAUGAACGCUAGCUACAGGCUUAACACAUGCAAGUCGAGGGGAAACGACAUCGAAAGCUUGCUUUUGAUGGGUGUCGACCGGCGCACGGGUGAGUAACGCGUAUCCAACCUGCCCACCACUUGGGGAUAACCUUGCGAAAGUAAGACUAAUACCCAAUGAUAUCUCUAGAAGACAUCUGAAGGAGAUUAAAGAUUUAUCGGUGAUGGAUGGGGAUGCGUCUGAUUAG
rnacentral:rRNA from 1 species